rnacentral:rRNA from 1 species
UACGGUAGGGUCCGAGCGUUGUCCGGAAUUACUGGGCGUAAAGAGCUCGUAGGUGGUUUGUCGCGUUUGUCCGUGAAAACUCACAGCUCAACUGUGGGCGUGCGGGCGAUACGGGCAGACUGGAGUACUGCAGGGGAGACUGGAAUUCCUGGUGUAGCGGUGGAAUGCGCAGAUAUCAGGAGGAACACCGGUGGCGAAGGCGGGUCUCUGGGCCGUAACUGACGCUGAGGAGCGAAAGCGUGGGGAGCGAACAGG